AUGCAUGCUACCGGCUCUUGCCCUGGUGCACGCACGCAUGCAUGUAUCUUAGUUGCUGCAUGCCGAGAGACAAGAAAGGAAAAACAAUGUAGUGAAGCUGGAUUAUUACGGGCCAUAUUUGGCCUUGAGGUUUCCACUUCAAAAGAAACUUCUCUGAAAUUACCUAUAGGUGGAAGAGGGCACGUUAUCGAUGUGAAAUGGAUCCAAAGGGACCCGCUCGACAUAAUGGUUCGUGUGUAUAUUUUACAAAAACGUGAAAUCAAAGUUGGGGAUAAAGUAGCCGGAAGACAUGGGAAUAAAGGGAUCAUUUCCAAAAUUUUGCCUAGGCAAGAUAUGCCCUAUUUGCAAGAUGGAACACCCGUUGAUAUGGUCUUCAAUCCCUUAGGAGUACCCUCCCGAACGAAUGUGGGACAAAUAUUUGAAAGCUCACUCGGAUUAGCGGGGGAUCUGCUAAAGAAACAUUAUAGAAUAGCACCCUUUGAUGAGAGAUAUGAGCAAGAGGCUUCAAGAAAACUUGUGUUUUCAGAAUUAUAUGAAGCCAGUAAAGAAACAAAAAAUCCAUGGGUAUUUGAACCCGAGUACCCGGGAAAAAGCAGAAUAUUUGAUGGAAGAACAGGCGGCCCCUUUGAGCAACCUGUUCCUAUAUCUUAA
rnacentral:rRNA from 1 species